CGUAAGGGGCGAGCGUUGUUCGGAAUUAUUGGGCGUAAAGGGCACGCAGGCGGUUUUGCAAGUCCGAUGUUAAAGACCUGGGCUUAACUCAGGGGAUGCGUUGGAAACUGCAAGACUAGAAUCUUGGAGGGGGAGUCGGAAUUCCUAGUGUAGGGGUGAAAUCUGUUGAUAUUAGGAAGAACACCGGUGGCGAAGGCGGACUCCUGGCCGAAGAUUGACGCUGAGGUGCGAAAGCAUAGGGAGCAAACAGGAUUAGAUACCCUCGGUAGUCUAUGCUGUAAACGAUGUGCACUUGGUGUUGGGUCCGAUUAGGUUCAGUGUCCGAAGCUAACGCGAUAAAGUGCACCGCCUGGGGAGUAUGCUCGCAAGGGUG
rnacentral:rRNA from 1 species